UCUGAAUGGGACACCUUAGCAAUCACCCAUAAACUUUGUUGUGAUGUUCCUACAAAUUUGUUCCAUACGUGUUGUUUUGUUCUUCAAGUGCCUGGUGGAUGAUAAGGUCAGUGGCUACCCCUUCUAAUUCUUCUCCUUGUCCUCAGGGCUUCCCAGUGCACUCUGGGCAGCCACUGACUAAUUAAAUCAUCCCACAAAGGUAUCCUGCAUGACACACAAUGCUGACCCUAAAUGCGAACUCCUGGGUAGGCAUUCAAGAGAGGGACCAGGUCUGACAUUUCUCAGCAUCAGGACUCGGCACCUAUUCUAAAGCUUUUUUUCCCAAAGGUGUGCUGUACUAAUUCAGAGGCUUUGCUCAUAUGUUUCUAAGCAAACAUGGAAGGAACCUGGUCAGCUUGCAAAUGGACAAGGCCCUCCCCAGUCCUGAUGUGGUGAUGCAGCCUGGCUACACCCUCCAGGCUCAUCAGGAAUGACAGCUUUGCCCUGUGGGAGUUCUGCGGGUGCUUAAGGACCAGGACACAAAGCUGCAAGUGCCCAGCGACAGUCAUCUUCGCCUAUGCAUGUGGCGUGAUGAGGAAUCAGAGGACGUUUUAUAAGACGGGAAGAAGGCAAUUUGGCUUCAUGUGACACCUUUCAUGCUCAAAGAAUCCCAACAGCGAAAUACUCAUGAAGAAUAAAAUGCUUACACUUUGUAAGUGAGAGAGUGGAGUUGCGGCAAUGAGGCUGGAAAUGGAAAAGAGCUCAAACCAAGCACGAGUUGGAACCAAACUUUAGCUAGGUCUCCAGGCAAUUGAGAUCCCAGCAUGCGGCGGCAAUUGAGACGAGGAGGAUCUUUUCAGAUGUCUUAAGUGGCCGAAGUGAAGCCCCUCCAGAGCUGCUGUGGUUGACGAUCACCCUGCCGCCAGCUGCUUCCUUCAGGUGAGAGGUUACUGGAAAAGUCAACAACAGCAGUGGAGGAGGAAGGUAGGUGUGUGGAGGUGGAGAGGGGAGUCUGCGGCUUCAAAGUGUGCAGCGUGGUGGGCCUCCUGGAGAAGGUGAUGUGGGCCAAGACAAGGAGUUUAUCUUCUAUUUCAAAAUGAGGAAGACAGGGCACAUCUGACGAUAAGACUCUCGGAUCUCCUGCUGAUGGGUUUUAGUGAUACUUGGAAAGACGCUUACUGCUAUGCUCAAGUCUCCAGGAAAAUGAUUCCCAAUUCUGAGAGGUACAGAUUGCUGAAUGGACUUGGAUGCAUUCUUAGGUUCAGUAAGAAUGUUUCUUCCAAAAACCCACAUAUAUACACCCUCACAGUCCAAUUUCACAUGAAGCAGUUCCAAAAGAAACUGCUGCUGCUGCUGCUGUGGUUGUUCAGUGAUAACCUGCUUCACCAAACAAAAAUGUUCUUCCUGUUCUCCAUCCUCCAUUAACACCAUGUUAAUAGAAAAUUUGACCAUUGUAACUUUCCCUCUUUUAAAUUAAAGGAUGCGUGUACACAUGAGAAACGAGGUUGAGGUUGACUUUCAUGACAGUGCAAAAGGGUUAUCAAUACUAAUAAAAUGUGUGAACAGGAGGAAGUCCAAAC
rnacentral:lncRNA from 1 species